CAUACACAUAACCUUGAAUCACACCAUAAACUACCACCAUCUCCACUUGAAUCGCCACAAGAACCCCACUUUGCGGCCACCCCUUUCGUUUCCGCCACACGUCACCGUCGCGAGCAACUCGUCACCACCGCACCAUUCAGUUACUGUUUUCCACCGCGGCGGGUCGGUUUCUUUCCAAACUAUCAAGGUAUGUGAGAAUGCAUCUCAUUGUGAUGUGGGUUCAUGUAAGUUUUGAGCACGACCCGAAUUGUGGAUUUUUGCUUUGCUUGCUAAACUAAGGUAAUCAGGGAUAAUGGGGAAUCAGUAAUGAGAGAUUAAUGGAUGUUCAAGAGUAUUUAAAGACUCUUCAUUUUGUUAAAUCAUGUACUUUUAAAUGAACUUAAGACUUAGGGUUUUUUUUAGACGUGUAU
rnacentral:lncRNA from 1 species